GACAAUGAAUGCCCUCUGCUGGUGCAAGGCGGUACUAACAAAUUGAUUGUCAAGUCUUCUCUGGCAUGCGAAUGAAGAGAUGAAUCGAGAAAGAAAAAGCCACAAACGGAGAAGGUUUAGGGCCACAGCUCCCCCUUUCCUUGACUACCUGAAAGAUAUUCUGCGCCGAUACCCAGACGGCGGACAGAUUCUAAAGGAACUGAUUCAGAAUGCCGAUGAUGCAAAAGCAACAGAGGUUGUUUUUCUGUAUGAUGAAAGGAAUUAUGGGACUGAAAACCUUUGGGAAGAGGACCUCCACAAGUUUCAAGGACCUGCCUUGCUGGCAUACAACAACUCUGUGUUCACCGAGGAAGACUGGAAGGGGAUCCAGGCUACAGGAAGGAGUGUCAAAAGCAAGGAUCCAAACAGAAUCGGCCGGUUUGGCAUUGGAUUCAACUCUAUUUACCAUAUAACUGAUCUGCCAUGCAUCUUCAGUGGUAAAAAUGUGGGCUUCAUGGACCCCCAGGAGAAAUAUUUUGAUGAUGGUGGCUACUUGUGGUCCUUGGAGCAUGAAGACGACCAAGAAGAUCUACAGAAGCAUCCAAACCAGUUUGAGCCACUGAAACAAAUCCUGAGGGCAAUUGGCAGCCAGACAUCCUGGGAUGACGUGCUUCGAGAACAAAACUUCCAGGGGACCCUGUUUCGAUUUACACUGCGGGAAGAGCUUUCGCAGAUAUCGGACAACUUGUACGACCAAAGUCGAGUCUUCGAUCUCUUUGAUUCCUUCAGGGCUGAUGCAGACAUGAGCCUCCUCUUCUUAAAAAACGUAGCCUCCAUCUCGCUGAAGCAUAUUGACCGAGAUGGCACAGUUAAGAACAUUCUUACCAUAACAGCCUCGCAGGAAGAAGUGACACCUGGAGGCACAGAUCAGGAGAGACUAGAACUGCUCUCGGGUGCAGAUGCCUGCUCUGUUUUUAAAGUUAUAACAAGUGAGAGUCCUGCUGAGCAGAAGAGCUGUAAGUGGCUGGUUUCUACCUUCACAGCAACUGGCAGCGUGUAUGGUGAAUUACACAAGCUUGCUGAAAAGCUGAACUAUCGACCCUGUAUUGGGCUCGCCUUCCCUUUGGACGAGGACCAUGAUGGAGAAUUUAAAGGCCGUCUGAGCUGUUUUCUACCACUGCCUGACAACGACAGCAACACCACAGGCUUGCCCGUCCAUGUGAAUGCAUGUUUUGGGCUCACAGACAACCGUCGAUACAUCAAAUGGGUGGAGGAGGACCAGAAACACGAUGAGGCUGCUCAAUGGAACGAACUCCUGGUUGAAAAACUCCUCCCACCAGCAUACUGUCACAUCAUUCUGGAUGCCAUUGCCUUGACCCUGACUGGAGACCCAUUAAUGAACCCAUCAAUGACCUAUAACCUCUGGCCUGACCUGGACAGCAUAGCCCACAAGGAACGUUGGGCGACAAUGGCAAACAUGGUGGCCACGAGCUUAGGAAAAUACAGGGUUCUCUGUUCAGCUCACAGUUCCACAAAUUGGAUAUAUCCAAAAGAAGCUGUCUUUCAAGAACGCAGCGAAGAUCUGGACAUCAUGACUGCUGUGGAGAGCUUUCUCUUAUCCCAGCGGAAGCUGUUGGUCAAAGUUCCUAGCCAUGUGUACCGCACAGUUCAGUCUGUUAAAGAAUACUGCAUAACCAUGGCAACCCCAGAAUUUAUAAACAGAAUUCUAAAAACCUGUAACUUGAAUUCUAUAACUCGCGAUGAAAAGAUGCUGCUGCUUGAGUUCAUUCUCAGAUGUGAAGAUUCCCAGGGACUGAAAGGGGUUCCGUUGCUGCCUUUGAGCGAUGGGUCCUUCACCACUUUUCAAGCCUCCAACGAUGGUGAAAAGGUUUUCAUUGACAGUGAAGACUUCCCACGGACACUGCUACCGGGACUGGCAAAAAGGUUCAUUUCUGAAGAUCUGAAGCCUACUGUUCUUGGCUCAUUACGGAGAUUGGCUUCAAAGAAUAACUUCAAUCUUCAGUGUCUGAAUGUGAAGCUAGUCACUGAAAACAUAAAGGAUGCUUUCCCAUUUAACUGGGCUCGUGGCUCGGACCAUGUCACCUGGGAUGCGAGAAACCACUUGGACAGAUCAGACAAAUGGCUCCCUCAGCUCUGGCAUUUCCUGAAAAAACACUGUCCUACUGACCUUCGUCCCUUUGAAGGACUGCCAGUUAUACCACUCAGACGCCAGGCUGAGGCAAAAGGGACAGUUGUACUGGCACGUCUCAUAAAGAACACAACAUUGAUUUUUCAAGAACUUAAUGGCUGUCGUUUGCGAGAUGAAAUGGUUGCCCUAAUCGGAAAGCUUGGAGGCACAGUGAUCAAGCAGAGUGAUGAGUUUCUAGACCAUCCAAAGUUAAAAGAUUACAUAUUCCUUCCAUCUGUAAGCAACUUCUUAACCCUGCUUUCAAACCUCGGUGUCGAUGCCGUUAAAAGUAAACUAUCCGCUAUGUCUACGGAGGAAAGAAACCAGAUCAGGAACUUUAUAUCUGAAGCCAACAGCUUUGUACAAGCUGAGAAAAGUCUAAUUUCUGAACUACCCAUCUUUCACCAAAUGCUGUCUCUCGCAUCUCCCAAUCAGGGUCUCAUAGCUGCCACAAACCAUGCAGCAAUAAAUUGUGAUACAUUGCCUUGUGUUCCAGGUGACGUAGUCCUACCUAAGACAGUCUUGAAGUGCACAGGUGAAUGUGACAGAAAGUUUCUCUUACAACUAAAGGGCAGCCUUUUAAGUGCUGCAGAUGUCGCUCUGCAAAUUGUAACAGGGGUGGAAAACGGCCUCUACAGGGAGUCUCACCAAAAGGACACAAAUAUGCUGUGGAUUUUGAGAAAUAGUGACAUGCUUUUUAACCAGCAGGAUCUAAUUCGUAAGAAAUGUGAAACACUGAAAUUCCUGAAUUCGAGAGGGACCGGAGUGCAGCCCUCAGCCCUGUUUGACCCAGAGGUGAAAACAUUCAAAGACCUGUUCAGCCAUGACUUCUUCCCAUCUAAAGAUUUUAUUGAAAAGGGAGUUCUGAAGACCUUGCGUCGCCUGGGUUUACGAUCUUCACUUGGAGACAUUAACGCCGAUGAAUUCCUAAUAGCUGCACGAGAAGUGGAUCGAGAAAAAAAUGACCAAGCUCGCAAAAAGUCAGAUGUGUUAGUAGCUGUUUGUAAUGAUACAGACGUUCUCUCCAAAUUUUCCUCAAAACAGCUGGAAACUCUUUGCUCACUAGCAUGGGUGCAAACUGCAAAACCAACAGAAAAGCAAAGUUCUAAUUGGUACAGACCUAAAGACAUAAAGGACUCAAGUUUGGGGAGUUUAGUCGGCUUAGUGAUCCCUCUUACUACACAAUUUAACAGAAAGGCAUGUCAAGCUCUAGGAUUGACUGUUCCUCCUCCACCAGCGAAAGUAAUUGAAAAUCUCAAAGUACUGUCUGAGAAUUAUAAAGAGGAAGAUAAAUUUUCAAUCCUGACAAACGUUAACUCUAUCUACAGUCACAUUCAGAAGAACCUUGAUAAGUUUACAAGUCUAACUGACCUUCCAAUUUGGAACGGAGAUGGGUUUUCACAGCCGAAAGACAUUAUUCUGGCUUACCCAAAAGAAUUAGAUCUGAGCCACUGCAUGAAGAAGGUCCCACCAGAGUUAUCAAAGUACAGUGAUUUGCUGAAGAAGUGUGGCGUCAAGCCCUCACUGAGCCCUGCCGAAGUGGUUAACCUGCUGUAUGACCUGCAGAAGAACAUUGAUUCCCGUACAGCCAGUGCAAGGCCAGAGGAACUGCAGUUGGCCAUUUCUGUUCUUGAGUGGAUGCGGAAGACAAAUCAAGAUCUGGAAAGUCUAGACUGUGAAAAUGACCUUCCGGUUCCAGUACACAAGAAAGGAAUGGAAGGGGAUUUCUGUUUGCAGCCCUUGUCUAAAGUCCUGUAUCGUGAUAUUUCACCAGAAGCAUUGGACGACCUCCAGCAAGAUGAAGAGGAGUUCCAUGUUGUCCAUAAGGAAAUACUCCAGGCCACAGCGGAGUACUUGCAUGUUCACAAUCUCAGCACCAGGAUACUCAAGCCAGAAUUUAUUGAACAGUGUGGGCAAAGUGAAGCCGUAACGUUAAGAAUAAAAAACAUUCUCAAAGAAUACGAUGAGGAAAGCGACCUUUUCAAAGAGCUAAUCCAGAAUGCGGAGGAUGCUAAGGCAACGGUUUGCUGCUUCUUGGUGGACAUGAGGCAAAACAAGGACUCCCCAGAGAGUCUCAUUGACCCGGGUAUGGCCUCAUGCCAUGGUCCAGCACUCUGGUCCCACAACAAUGAGGUUUUCACUGAAGAUGAUUUCAAAAACAUAACUAAAAUAGGGUCAGCCUCAAAGGAACAUCAAGUUGAAAAGAUAGGGAAUUUCGGAUUGGGAUUUAAUGCAGUGUAUCACAUAACAGACAUACCAUCAAUCUUAAGUGGCAAAACUCUGCUAAUAUUUGACCCAAAUGUCACACAUCUCCAGAAACACAUUAAAAGCAAAUCUAACCCUGGAAUCAAACUGGACCUCUCCAGAAGUGACCGUGUUCUCAAGAGAUUUCCAGGCCAGUUUAAACCAUACCAUAACAUAUUUGGAUGCAACAUAAAAGCAGACCAAUUUGAUUACAAAGGAACCCUGAUAAAACUCCCCUUCAGGACAAUUGCUGAAGUUGAAAAGUCUGAGAUAAGCACCAAGUGCUAUGAUGAGAGUAGGAUCCAGUCACUAACAGAUACCUUUAAAGAAACCUCUCAAAACAUGCUGCUUUUUUUAAGGAGAGUUGAAAAGGUCAGUUUGGAAGUACUGUCCCAAACAGCAAGCGCAGAGGACCAAAGCAGUGCCACCACAGUCCUGACACUGACAAGAAAAGACAUCUGCAAAUAUAAUGUGGCAGACCACAUCCCCUUCAGGCACCUACAGCAGAAUUCUGUUAGUAAACUGGAAAGGUUUAACGGAAAAUGCAGAGGAAUUAUUGACAUUAAUACUUUUGGUGUUAUGGAGAUCACAUCCGAAGUCCCAGAAGCUCCACAGAUGUUGCAAUACUGGCUAGUUCAUUCCUGCUUUGGUGUAGGGAAAGCUCUGCAAAUGGUCUGCGAUAAAAGACUUUUGGCCCUUCCGCUCGGAAGUGUUGCUGUUCCUCUAAUCAAGAGCAAAGAAGCAGCAGGGAAAUGGCGACCUGAUACUGAAGCUGCUGCUGGCCAGGUCUUUUGUUUCCUUCCACUUUCUAUCCAUUCUGGGCUCCCAGUUCACAUUAAUGGGUCCUUCUCAGUCACUUCCAACAGAAAGAAUAUUUGGACCACUGGCUUAAAGGGAGAUUGGAAUGAAGCGUUACUACAAGACGCAGUCAAUGUGGCAUAUGUAACAACGCUCCUGCAAUUACAAAAGAUGUGUCAAGAAAGCAAGAUUGAAGGCUACAACUAUUACACAUUCUGGCCCAACAUGGAAAAGGUUUUAAAGCCAUUUGCUGCAACUGCAAAGGCAUUUUAUGAAGCCGUGGCAAAGGGAUUUCAAGGCCACCCUUUAAAUAUCCUGGGUAAUGGAAAUGACUGGUGUGACAUUGACCAUGCACGAUUUCUGGACUAUGAAAUCAUGAACAGUGAGAAAAUAGGGAAAGCAGCCAGUAAAGAAUUUGCUGACCGGCUCAACCGACCACUCCAGGCUGUGAAUUUGCCAGAUUGGGUGAGAAAAGGUUUUACAGUUAAUGGACACGGGGACAUCAUUGACAAAUACACUUACGACUGGAUUAAAUUCUACAGCGAAAUAGUCUUUGACAACUUGCAAUCCAUGGAUGCUUGCACAAGGAAUGCAUUCAUUCUCCAUGCAAUUGACCUGAGAAACCCAAGCAUUGAUGAACUGUUAAAAACCCAGCCCUGCAUUCCAUCUAGCAAGAGAGGGGAGCUGCAAUAUAUUCAUAAUCUCAUUCACCCAAAAGGAAAGAUUGCCCCCCUGUAUGACAAAGAAGAAGGUAGGAUCCCUACAGGAACAGAAGGAGAUUUUCUUCAUCCUGAGAGACUGACAAGACUAGAAACUCUUGGGAUGAUCAAAGACGAGGCCUCUAUUUCCCAACUCAUAGAGAGAGCACAAACAGUGGAACAUUUGUGGCAACAAAAUAAGGCAAAAGCAUACAAUAGAGUCCAGAACAUUUUGGCAUUGCUGAGCAAUGUAAAGGUGAACAAUACAGUCCAAGAAGAGAUUCAGGAUAUUGUUUUUCUUCCUGCUCACACCCCCAUCUCUCCCUCGAACAUUGCGUUGGAAAAUAUAUGUCUUGUAAAACCAAAGGACCUAUACAGCCACAAACACAAGUGGCUUGUCAAUAUGAUUCAACCAAUUUUGGCCAAAAAUGAGUUAGGGACAGACUUUAAAAUCUCUUCAGAAGUCAAAUCUAUCUUGGGCUUGGACAAAGACCCAUCCCUGGAUACUGUGCUGUUGCAGCUAAAAAAAGCUUUGAAAUGUUGCCACAAGAUACAGCCCACUGAAGUGAAGCAAAUUGCUGAAAAAUGUUACUCCUAUCUAAACAAGCAUCUUAAGGAGACACAUUCCUCUAGGAAUAUCCUUGCUAGGGAACUGGAGUUUAAUUUUAUCUUGGUUGAAGGAAAGUUUGUGCCCUUUGAUAAAGUUGCCCACCAAGUGUCAUUUGAUGCUGCCCCCUAUCUUUACAAACUGCCAGAAGAAUACACAAGAUUUGAUGACCUCUGGAAGUGUGUUGGCAUUAAAAAGCUUUUCUCCCUCUCAGAUUACUCCUCCUUGCUUCAGCAGAUAUCAGACACUUACAAAGGAAAACGCCUUAAUAAAUCGGACCUUAAGCUCAGUCUGAGAGUGAUUACAACAGGCUUUGGUGAGCUCCCUGAAGAGGAUAUCGAUUCCUAUGACGUCCAGAAAAUUUUGCUUCCAGACGACAAGUGUGUGCUUCGACCAGUCAGCAAGCUGCACUACAAUGACACACCCUGGCUGGAGCUUAAUGAGAAUAAAGCUCUCUGCCACAAAAGCAUAUCCCGUGAUGUUGCUCUCCGCCUAAAAGUACAAACCACAAAACACAAAGCCCUGGCUGAUAUGACAGUGGAUCCGUUGUCACGCUGGAUGAAACCAUUCGGGGCCCAUGAAGAGCUUACGGCGCGGCUGUCGAACAUUAUCAAGGCAUACCCGUCCAAGAAAGAUAUACUGAAGGAGCUAAUACAGAAUGCUGAUGAUGCCAAGGCAACCGAAAUACAUUUCAUAUGGGACCAAAGACACCACCCCACUACAAAAACCUUUGGAGAGAAAUGGAUUCCAUUGCAAGGGCCUGCACUGUGCGUCUACAACAACAAAAGAUUUACAGAAGCAGACUUUGAAGGAAUUCAGCAACUGGGAGAGGGAGGAAAAGGAAACAAUCCAGAGAAAACUGGGAAGUAUGGGCUGGGAUUUAACUCUGUCUAUCAUCUAACUGAUUGCCCUUCUUUUGUUUCGGGGAACAGUCGCCUAUGUGUGUUCGACCCCAAUGUUGCCUACCUGCAGACUGCUACAAAUAGAGAUCCUGGUGGUGAAAUAGUCAUUAACAGUGAGUUCAAAAGAACGUUUUCAGAUGUUUAUGAUACCUACCUGCCCACAUUGUAUGACCUUGACAAGGGCACAUUGUUUCGAAUUCCUCUUAGAACACCUGAAAUGGCUUUGAAGUCAAAAAUAGCAAAUGCACAGGUUGUAAACGAUGAAGAUAUCAACAGUUUGGUUGAUGUGCUGAGGGAAGACUCAGACAGUCUCAUACUGUUUUUAAACAACAUACAGAAAAUAACCUUCCAGAAACUUGGAAGGGAAACCAACAAACUGGAGCCACUUUUGACUGUGGAAAUGAAGAUGUCUGAAGAAAGUAUGAAAAAGAGAAAAGACUUCCAAGAAAAAGUGCAAAAGAUUGCAGAUCUUAAAACUGAACUGGCAGAUAUAGAGCCCUACCAGACUGUGUAUAACAUUGAAAUUCACUGCAAAGACAAACAUCCAACACAAUGGAUACUGGCAAAACAAAUGGGCAUACAGGAGGAGAAGAUUCGUGCUUCUAUGCAGGACCUUAAACUGGAUCGAAUGCUAUUGCCCCAUGGAGCUAUCGCAGCAAGUCUGAAUUCCUCUGUCACAGGCAGAGCCUUCUGCUCCCUUCCCCUACCAGUUGAGACCGGACUCCCUGUUCAUGUCAAUGGGAACUUUGCCGUUGAUUUUGCCAGGAGGGACCUCUGGAAACAAGAUGGGUCGAAUGUGAAGACUGAGUGGAAUGAAAACUUAAAGAUCCACGUAAUUGCUCCGUUAUAUGGUGAUCUCCUUUCAUACAUAAUUGGGCAUUUGUUUCAGGACAGGGGCAAGACUUUGAGAUUCCAGGACAAAACAUCUUGUGAGAAUCACCUUGAGCAAUUUUUAGGAAUCUUUCCUUGCAUGUUUAAAAACAUACACCCGCAGUGGCAAGAAACAGCUUACCAGGUCUACAGGUCUAUCCAUGCUAGGAAACAUGAGGUUAUUCCUUUAUUCAGGUUGGAAAAAGUUAAAAAAAGCACCUUUACAAAUAAGAUUCUGACUGUUUCCUGGUCUAAUGUUGGAAAGGAAAACUAUAAUGAAGAACCGCACUUCUUGACUGAAACAUGCACGGAGGAACAAGUUAUGACUUUACAAAACAUGGAUAUGAAAUUGGUUCUCCCUUUUGAAACAUUGAAAAGAAUAUUUGAAGGAUUUGAAAAAGCAAGAACAAAUGUUACUUCCCUGAAUCCAGAAUCUCUUAGGAAGUUUCUGAUGGCCCAUCCUUUGCUGAACAAAGAAAGUAGCCUUUCUGUACCUGUUAAUAAGUCUCCAAUGAAAGAGGAAAGACAAUUAAACAUUCUUUUAGAAUAUUGUCUCAAGGGCGUCAGUAAAAAAAACAGAAACUGUCUGGAGGGUCUGCCUCUUUUAUUAACUCAAGACAACAUUGUAAUGAGGUUUCAGUUGAGAGCACCAAAAUAUACUUCCCAAUUUCAUGAUUUGUUCCCAGAUUUAAAGCAUCUGUUUGCAAAAAGUUCCUAUACCACUAAAGAUACACUAAAAGAGAUUGGAUUCCUGAAAGCUUUCACAGUCGCUGAGUCUGCGCAGUUUAUCAGAGGAAAACUGUCCCAGAAAGUCACUGAAGAUGACUGCCGCUCAUGGCCAGUUUUACCAAAAAAUGAUGAAGAGUGGAUCAAAAAACUGUGGGAAUAUUUCCAUAGACAGUUUCACAUCUCUGGGACUUCAAAAGAGGAGAAAAAAGCAGAUGCCUUUAAGGAGCUGAAAACUCAUUUUUCAGAUCUUGCAAUUCUACCUGUUUUAAUACAACCUAAUGAGAAGAUCCUGACAUCUCUGAAUUGUUUGCAAAAUGUGGUUUAUGAACUCGACAGAAUUGGCAAUCUCCUCUCAAAAAUUGGCUUUGCCCAACUUGACCGUUCUCUUUUAGAAUUUGAUAUUGGAUAUCAUGUAAUCAAGCCACAUUUAUUACAAACAGGAGAACAUUCCUUAGUUCUUGAGCAGCUGACGCGUAAGAAAGAAGUACAGUGGAGUCAAUUAUCCAAUUCAAUGGAGUACGAUAGAAUGCUACAGUUCCUUUUUGAAGGACUGCAGAAGUGCAAGGACAAGCAAUCAUACAAGAACAAUUUCAGAUCCUUACCUCUCUUUGAAAUGACACAGGGGUGCCGCCAAAGCAUUGACAGGUUUGAAUAUGUCUACAUUUUGAAGUCAAAAUAUGAUGUGAUCUGCCCAGAAUUGUACCAGAUGGAUAAGACUAUUGCAUUUCUUAAGGAUACUCCUUUCAAUCAAGAACUGGCAAAAGAAUUGGAUAUCAAAGUAAUAAAUGACUUGGAGUUUUUCACCUCUGUAAUUCUCGGUAGACUUCAACAACUGUCAGAGUCGCAAAUGCUUCAAGCAAUAAACCUGCUGUUGAAAAUAAUCCACGAUUAUCAUAUACCAUAUCAGAUAAACAAAAGUCAAAUCACCUCUGUUCUCAAACUAGUGAAGUUUAUCCGAGACAUGCAUGGUAGCCUACGGGAAGCUUCUUUUUUCUAUGAUAAAGAGGAUCCACUUUUCAAAGCAAUGGAUUUAAAGGAUAAAUUUAUUCCUCAGUCCUUCUUCAAAAAUGUACAACCUGAAUAUAUGUUCAAAAUAUUGCUGAUAGACCUUGGGAUGAAGAUGACCCCAUCGCAGGAUGACCUCCUUUACUUUGCAUCUUUAGUUGCUCAAGAUGCUGCACAGGGGGCUCCUAUGAAAAUCCUGAAGCCGAAAACAGAUGCUUUACUUGAUGCUCUCUUUAAGAUUAAUGAAAAGGAACUUGAUGCAGAUUUCCUUGAAACACUGUCCAACAUUAAAUUCAUCUACCCCUAUGAAGUGCCUGAGGAAUUGUGUGCCUUGCAUUCUCCAUUUGUUAAGAAUAACCAGCUUGUUGCAUUGAAGGGGUCGAUGGUAAGACAAUUGGAAGAUGAUGAUGAACUAGUUUGGACCUCCAUGCCAAUACUGCCUUUUCAGAACACAGAUGGAAUACUAAAGAAGUCUGGCGCCUUGCAUCUACCCCCGCAAGACUUAGUUCUUCAAAAUCUUAAAAAUGUUUCAGGAGUUGACUGCAAAACUAAACCAGUUCUAAAAACCAGAACAAAGGUUAUGAAAACAGCAUAUGUCUUUCUUCAAAAAAAACCAUUCUACGAUGCCAAGUCUCUGUCAGACUUACCAGUUAUUCUGGUAGAAGACAACACCCGUUUGGUGAAAUCAAACCAGGUGGUACUGUCAUUAAAAAAUGACAGAGAAUUCCGUCCAUACCUUUACAAACUUCCAUUUGAACUGGGUCCUUACAGGGAUUUCUUCCAAGGGAUUGGUGUUUCUAAGGAAGCUACACCAGUCCAAUUUUGCUCAGUCCUGAGAGCCCUCUAUGAGGAUACCAAGGGCAUGAACUGUUUACAUCCAAACCAGAUUAAGACUGCAAAAAGGACUGUUCAACAUCUUUUCAAAAGUUUGCUGAAAAAUUCUGAUAACCAAGACUUUCAGUCACUGAAACCACUGUAUUUGCCUGCUACUGAUGGAAAGCUAUAUGAGUCAAGUAGCCUGUACUACAAUGACCGUGUUACCACAGGUUCCAAAACUCACUUGCAAUCCUUGGAAGAAAAGUUUACAUUUUUGGUUAACCUGAAAGAUUGCUAUAUUAAAUGGGAUAUCUACACGAUCCAGAACCUUUUCAAACUACUGCCAGAAGAAAUAAGACCCAAGAUGUUAUCGCAUACAACCAAGGAAAAUCUGGAAGAAUCAACUCUGAAGCUUUGUCUGCUUGGGGAGAACUGUGAUUUUCGGUGUCGGCUGCUGAAUCUCCUAGUGUCCCCGAAUUUCACUGAAGGUGUGCUCUCUCUUUUGAAAUGGCAGAACGAAGGCCAGUUGGAGGAGACCUUAUCAGCUAGUGAGCUGAAGAAGGUCUUUUCUAAAAUCAGUAUCACCUGCUGCGAGAAGAUUGAAACUGUUCUGGUUUACAACUCUGAACAUUUGAAGAAUACCAAUAUUCAAAAACAAGUCUACCUCCAGAAAGACAAGGACGGCCACUGUGAUUUUUUUGUAGUGCACCAGGAUGGUUUUCAAGGAAGGAAAAUGUUGAAAACACCAAAAGGUAUUGCCCAAGAAAUCAAUGUGUUGCUUAAAAACAUGUUGAAUGAAAAUUCAAUGUUAAUACUCUUUGAAAUGCUCUGCUGUGAUGACCCAGAAGAUAUUUACAAUGUAUUGAUUGAGUGUGACAUCCACUAUUUUAAUUGUGAAGGGGAGAGCUCUUUUAAUUUACCUGAUCCUGGAGAAGUCAUUCCGAAUUACUUAUGGGACCUUCUUGAAAUGGAUUUCCUCAACCAUUUUGAAAAGGGAGAUUUUGUUGGCUACUUAGAUCCUUCUUCUUGGCCAGAGGAAGUUUAUCUUUUUGCAAUUGUAGUAGAGUGCCUGGGCACGCAGAAGAGAGCAGAUGGUGAGGUGCUGAUGUACCGAAUCCAGAUAGGUAGUGAAAACAUGGUGGAAGUCACUAAAACUGAUAUUUAUCAGUUUAAGAGGGCCAGGGGGGUCAACAACAACUGCAGAGAUCUUGUCCCUGUGGCACCUGGAGAGGAACCAAAUGAAAUCCCAGCUGGGAAGUUUUCAAAGUCAUUCGAUGAAAUUAAAAAGGAAAUCGACGAGUACUUUGAAAAAAUCUCAAAACUUCCAAAAGAAGAGCGAGACAAAGCAAUCCGACGGCUUUACUUAAAAUGGCAUCCUGACAAGAAUCUGGAUAAUUCUGAACUCGCUACUGAAGUCUGCAAGUAUAUUGAGCAGCUGAAAGAGGGAAGACGAGUGUCAGCUAAGCAAGGCAAAAGUCGAACGUCUGAAAAUAUUUUCAGAACCUGGAGUAGGCAAGCACGGAAUCACAAACAAGGGAGGUCAGAUUUUAAACACAGAUAUUCCUCCUGGGACCACGACUUCUUCAGUUUUCACCACAGAUACCAGCCAAACCCUGAAGAAGCGAAGAGAUGGUUUAAGCAGGCGGAAUGUGACCUUUCUGCUGCUUCCGUUGAUGUAGGACAGUCAACAACAGAAUGGGUCUUCUUUAAAGUACACCAAGCCGUGGAAAAAGCUCUCAUUGCAGCCCAAUACAGAAAAGAAGGAAGGUACACCAAGGAUCAGAAUAUUGUAGGACUGGCAAGAACAGUCUCUGCAUUUCAUGGCAGCCUCACUGAACUAAUAGAUAUUGUGUGCAAACUAAAGCAACACGGAGUUGACAACAAGAAGACACAAUACCCAAACUGUCACGCUCCUCCCAACAUUCCCAACGGACAGUUCCCUUCAGAUAAGGAACAGGAAGUGCUGGAGCUGGGAAAAUCACUUCUGGCCAAAAUACGGGACUAUCAAUAACUUAAUCAAUAACUUAAAUAGAAUUGAGGCUGAAACUUACAAGCAACUAUUACUUUUUACUCUUGAAUAAUAUACAGUGCCCUUGACUUCAGCUAUGUACUCCUUGAUAAUUCUAUUUUAAUCUACCAAUUCUAAAUUACUUUUUGACUUGAACACAAAGUGCAAAGACUAAUUUCAUCCAUCUGCUGACAACUUUGCUGCUAUUGUUUUGACCACAGUCCCUGACCACAUUCCGGCGCCUCCUUAAGACUCACCUCUUCAAACAGCACCUGUAGAACUCCUCUGUUGUAUCCUGGGACACUAUCACCCUUUAUUUAAAUAUGCUUUAUUUUGCUCUUAUCUGCCCCCUAUUUUACUGCAUUUAAUCCUGUACUUCAGAAUAUUGUAAUCUGCCAAGUGUUUAACCUGUAGUAUUUUGUACUUAAUCAUAUCCUGAUGUAACUAUCACUAUUUAAUCAUAUCCUGAUGUAACUUUCACUAUUAUCUGCUGUAUUAUUGAAUUGUGGUUUGUCACGCUUGAAAAAAUUAUUGUAUUUCCUGCUCUUAUUGUAUGAAUUGUAUUGUAACACUUGAAUGUAUUUGUAUUUGCUUGCGAUUGUAAGUCGCCCUGGAUAAGGGCGUCUGCUAAGAAAUAAAUAAUAAUAAUAAUAAUAAUAAUAAUAAUAAUAAUAAUAAUAAUAAUAAUAUUGUUUUGGCCCAUAUUGAAUACAUAACGACAGCAGUGUAAAGACUAAUUAACACAUUUUUGUCCUGCAGUGUAAACUUGGAGGCCAAUUCAUUUAUUAUUAUUAUUAUUAUUAGUAGUAGUAGUAGUAGUAGUAGUAUUUGUUUAACCACAUCUCAAAUUAAUGCUUAUAUUUUUUUACAGCUUUAGUCAGUUAUGUAUAUUCUAGUAUUUUUUUUUUACUGCAAUUUUUUUGUAUUCCUUAGUAAAACUUCUUCUCGUAUUGCAUUGUUGUUCUUAAGGAAAUAAUAUUAUGUUAGUCACAGUGGUCCUGAGAUGAAAGAGAAGAAACAAUGUUGAAGCUGAUAGCUUUUAGAAGACCCAAAAGGUCUCAUCAUCAGGUAAACUGGAUUUAAGAAGAAAUGGGGUAUAGAUUGUUAUUUUUUUGUAAUAGACUUGUGUAAAGAGCUCCUAUAUAUACCUUAGUUGUUUCUAGUUCGUUGUGUAAUGUUACAGUUGUGUCUUUUUCUUCGAGUAAAAUCUUAGCAAAUGUCUUGAUAAUUAUUGGGGACAUUUUUUAUUUUUUUAUUUGCUUUGACAAUGAUACUGUAUCCUUUUGAAAUACGCCAAAUUAAUAUUGCUUAUUUUGUUUUGUAUUCCUGAAACUGACAGGAUCCAGUAACAUAUUAUACUGUAAUACAAUAAACUUUAGAACUGCAUAUAGAUCAGUAUUGUGUGUUUUUUUUUCUUCCUAGGAGCUCCUAAUAUGUGAAAUUAUACAAAGUUUGGUGGAUAAAUCUACCUCCAACAGGUUUAUCUUUGUUCUUGGAGCUUCACGGUACUUCAAAUGGUGCAUCUGAAGCAUGCAAAUUAGUGGUUAUCCUAAGGAAAUGCGUUAUUAAUUUGCACAAUAUGAAUUGUAUUCCUGCUUUAUGAUCCUAUUGUACAGCAUGCGUUGCUGAUCUUUAUGGAUUACUGUGUCCACUCUGUGUGGAAUGUUUAUAUCUCCAGCACUGACGAGCAAAGCCUGAGCAAAGCUUGCAUUUCUAUAAAGAAGACAGUCUAAAUACGACCACUUUGCAGUGAAGACUCACACACAAACUCACUGUCUGCAGCGGGGAGAACUUACUGCACCAAAGUUACUGAAGAAAGAAAACGUUCCUUGCUGAUGCAAAGCAAGGUUCAAAGAUGGAGCCUGUUCACAUCAAAGAGGAGGUAAUAGACCAGGAAUGCUUUGAUAGUCCGGUUUCCACAGAGCGGCUGUCCCUUCAGGUUAAAGAGGACUCCCCUGAGCCAGGGUCCCACCCCCCUGGACUGAAAUGCGAACCCAUUGAACAUGACUCUGCCAGCUUUGCAGAGGAUGUCACUGAACUGGGCUCUGUCCAGCUCAUCGAGGAGAUUCCUCAUCGGGGGUCUGAUCUCUGUAAAGAGGAGGACUCGGACGACAUGUACACAGAUGGCGAAGACGAGGGCACCGUGUCGUUCCUCAUGCACAACCCUCAGAUGGAGACUGGUCCUGUCCGAAUAAGACGUUUAACAGAAGACUUGGACAGACCCUUGUCUUCCACUGCUGCCAUAGCAGCGUUGAUUGCAGACCAGGAUUAUGACUUAUUUCCAUGUUUCCAGUGCAAAAGGCCAGUUACUGGGAAGCAGUGCAGUCAGAAGGGGGUGAAAAAGAGAGGUCGCUCAAAAUAUGCAGACAUACUGUUGGGAGCACGGUCAGCAAACACAAGACAGCCUUCACCAGCAUCGCAAGAACUGACUUUACCCUCGGAGGGGGCGAAGAUUCGGAACUUGAGGAGCGCUCGGCUGUCCCAUACCUGCCAAGAGUGUGGGAAGAGUUUCGGUCACUCAGACACCCUCAGGCUGCACCAGCUGGUUCACAAAGUCGAGGGCAUGCAUGACUGCGCUGCGUGUGGGAAAAGCCUGGAGAAAGGAAGUCUUAAAAAAACACCAGCGAAAUUAAACAAGGGGGGCAGGCAUCAGUGUACUGAGUGGAGAGUUUGAAUGAAUCAAAUAAUGCUCAGCAGCACCGGCAUGCCCACAAACCUCAUCACUGCACUGCAUGCAGGACAUAAUUCAGCUGUCUGGAAUCUUUAAAAGUGCACCGGAACGUUCUCAGAGCAGGGAGACCGACUGUCACUGAGCUGAAUACAGGGACAGAUUCAAUUGGUUGAAAAGGUAUCGCAGCUCUCAGUAAACGGGGGAAGCUCAGGCUUACAAACGCCAUUGUAUUCACAUAGGAAGUAUCCCUGAUUGGUGAAAUGAAAAGGUGAAGAACUUUACCUACCACAAAGUACAGUAGAUGAUGUUGAGACAAGACAUCAAGACUAUCGCCUGCUUUUGUAGAUGAGUUAAUAAUAUUCAUAUUAAGAUUCAUGGCGUGGGUGCUGAUGUGGUAUCACAGAUUAGUAUCUGUAUGUUUUUGUACUUUUAAGUAUUGGAGAAUGUAGUAUUAAUAGCAGGGCGAUUUACGUUUUCUGACCUUGUGUCUGGUUAGUUGAUACUAAAGGUCAUGCUUGGCUGAAAAUGGAAUUGAUUUGUAAGUUUAGAGGCUUUUGGUUUACGCUCAGUGUUCAAUGCCGAAUGUGUUCAUUGUGUAAAGGCAGCAGACAAACCAUUGUUUCUAGCUAUUUUAAUAAAGUCCAGUGGAGUCUA